GGGCGCCCAGUGCUGCGGCAAGCGGGUCUCCCCGGGAGCUCCGAAGACACCGCCCCGGGGCGGAGACGAAGACGCGGUCCUCCCGGGACAAGAGACCAGCCUGAGAAAGGGUGCGUUCCAAAACCAGAGGUUAAGGGCGGCGAUCGGGGCGCGUCCCCGGGAUCGGGGAGCCCCGGCCUGGAGCGCGCGGCGGGAACCCGCUCUCCAGCCCUGGGUUUGGCUCUGGCCUCACGCUGGACGCUCGGCCUCGUCCUGGCCUGUAGACUCACCAGUUUUCACCUGGGUUCGGGGGUGGGGGGGGGCUCUAGGACAUCUUCACAUCUCUGUCCUUGGCACCUAGUCCCAUGCCUACAAAGCGCUCUGUCUUCCCAUUUGCUGAUAAUUAUUACGGUAAUAACAACUGACCAUUAACUGAGCACUUACUGUGUGCCUGGCACUCCGCUGUCUCCUGAACAGGCGGUAUAGCUUACAGUCUCCACAACAGCCCUAUGAGGUAGGUGCUGUUAUCAUUCCCAUUUGACAAAUGGGCGCAGAGAGGCCUGGAACCAAAUCUCUGAUUCUGCCUUUCAGGCUCUCUACCACUAUAUACUGGGCUGCCUUCUCUUCUGCGAGGCGGGGAGGGGGGAUGAUUAAUGAUCGUUAUUCAAAGAGAAGAUAAGGUUAUUGCUAACUAGCUUUGCCAACAAAUCAAUGACACUUGUUCGAGAUUUAUAAAUAUGUGUUGAAUCUACAGAUCCCACUCACACCGCUUCCCCAAAUUAUGUCAGAGGCUAUAAAGGAUGCCACAGCCCUAUGCUGCCCUGGAGGCCAGGGCACUGCCCUGCAAGGUUUCUCAGGCACCGAAGGCUGAGCUGAGUGGAGAGAGGAGUCCUGGACGCCCUGUUGAGGUGGGUGGACAGAUGCCAGGGCAGGGGUCCCUGGGAGGCUCCCAGAAGCAGGAAAGGCUUUGGAGACCAUACACCAAGCCCCGCCCCCAUAUAAAUGGAGAAACUGAGGCCCAGGAAUAAAAGGUUUUCACUUCCCUCUGCUGUGGAAGGCCUCCUGUACUCUGGCCACUCCUCCUCCUUCUUCUUCCCAUUACUGCUCAGUGCCCAUAAGGGAUGAUCUUAACCAGUCCUCCCUCCUGGCUUAUUACCACUCGUAUUUUGCAGAAAGACAGACUGGGGGCUGCAGCAGCUGAAGAUAACAAGAGAGAAGCAGAUAUCCAAACCCUGGUCUUCCUGCACUAAAGCCCUCAGCUGAUACAUCGAACAGCGUCCCAGAAAAAGCACCAAGCACUGCACAAAUGGAAAGCAUUUUGUCAAAAUUAUGAUUAUAAACUCAUGCCCGAUUCGUGAGUUACAAAAACAAAACGUAAACAGCACAGCCUGAGUUGUUAAAGCGACUUUUUUCUAAAAGCUCAACGUGCUUUCACUUCAUGGUCUCUCUUCUCCUAAUUUUAUGAUUGUCGUUUUUCUAACCGUUCUCUAAGAGCGCUGUCUCCCAACAGUCCUCGGAGGAAAGGAGGAAAUAAGCAGAAGUCAAACCGUAUUACAAUCAGUUCCCAGGGAACAGUGGGAGAUUGUGCUUCGCUGGGCUUUGGUGUUGCAAAAUAUCACUUGACAAAAAAAUUGGAAGCAACUUAGAUGGUUAUCAGCAGGAUGGAGUCAGCUAGGGGAUCAUUCUAAACAACCAUCCAGAGAUGUAGCAACAUGAAAAUAAUGCUUACAGUAUAGUUGUGAGCAAAAAGGAGAAGACAAAAAACACUGUGCAUGCACUCUGUCCUUGCAACCACUAAAAAUAAAUAUAAGUGCUCGUGAUCCAAGACUCAAAAGGACCAUGCACAAAGGAAACAGGCUUUGUUUAAGGUCGAGAGAUUAUGGCUGAUUUUUUCCUCUUAAUUUCCUAAAUAUUCUACAAUAUACUAUAUGGCCUUAAUAACUAAACACACGCAUAGCUCUAUCUUUAAACGUGGUAAUUCUUUUUUUUUUUUUUUUGAUGUCUAUUUAUUUUUGAGAGACAGAGACAGAGUGUGAGUGGGAGAGGGGCAGAGACAAAGGAAGACACAGAAUCGGAAGCAGGCUCCAGGCUCUGAGCUGUCAGCCCAGAGCCCCACGUGGGGCUAGAACUCACCAACUGUGAGAUUGUGACCUGAGCCGAAGUUGGAAGCUUAGCGGACAGUGCCACGGAGGCACUGAGACACCCCUAAACAUGGCAACUCUUAAUGUGAUAUCUACGUUGGAAAAACUUUUUUAAACACAAAAGCAUUGGAAGAUCUAUUGAAAUAAACAAUGCUAGUUUGAGACUACAUAGAAAUUUAAAUGUUUUAAACUUCAAAAACUACUAUUAACACAUAAGGUUAAAAGUUUGGAAGGACAUACUCCAAAAAUGUUAGUCACAAGUCCAAGGGGUAGGAAUGUAGGAGAUUUUUACUUUCUUCUUUAUGAUUUGCUAUAAUGUCUGAUUUUCUUUACCAUGAUAGCCCAUUGUUUUCACGAUCACACACAAAACACUAAGAUCCAGUAUAACUGGGCAAAUGGCACAGAUGGACAAUUCACAAAAUCGGAGUUUCAAAUGAUCAAUUAACAGGUUUUUUUUUUAAAAAAAGCGUUUAUUAAAUCAACGAAUUAUAUCAUUCCUGCCUCUACUUUCAUCAAAUCGGCGAAUCAUUUUUUAAACUACAUUACCUACAGCCAGAGAGACAGGCACUCACACUUACUGCUUCUGAGAUUAUGACAGAUAUUGGAAUUUUCAGAAAGCAGUCUUGUAAUAUGUAUUAAGAACCAUCAAAAUGUCUAUAUUCUUU
rnacentral:lncRNA from 1 species